rnacentral:rRNA from 1 species
GCGCAGCCUGAUGCAGCCAUGCCGCGUGUGUGAAGAAGGCCUUCGGGUUGUAAAGCACUUUCAGUCAGGAGGAAAGGUUAGUAGUUAAUACCUGCUAGCUGUGACGUUACUGACAGAAGAAGCACCGGCUAACUCCGUGCCAGCAGCCGCGGUAAUACGGAGGGUGCGAGCGUUAAUCGGAAUUACUGGGCGUAAAGCGUACGCAGGCGGUUUGUUAAGCGAGAUGUGAAAGCCCCGGGCUCAACCUGGGAACUGCAUUUCGAACUGGCAAACUAGAGUGUGAUAGAGGGUGGUAGAAUUUCAGUGUGUAGCGGUGAAAUGCGUAGAGAUCUGAAGGAAUACCGAUGGCGAAGGCAGCCACCUGGGUCAACACUGACGCUCAUGUACGAAAGCGUGGGGAGCAAACAGGAUUAGAUACCCUGGUAGUCCACGCCGUAAACGAUGUCUACUAGAAGCUCGGAGCCUCGGCUCUGUUUUUCAAAGCUAACGCAUUAAGUAGACCGCCUGGGGAGUACGGCCGCAAGGUUAAAACUCAAAUG